AACGAACGCUGGCGGCAUGCCUAACACAUGCAAGUCGAACGAGACCUUCGGGUCUAGUGGCGCACGGGUGCGUAACGCGUGGGAAUCUGCCCUUGGGUUCGGAAUAACAGUUGGAAACGACUGCUAAUACCGGAUGAUGACGUAAGUCCAAAGAUUUAUCGCCCAAGGAUGAGCCCGCGUAGGAUUAGCUAUUUGGUGAGGUAAAGGCUCACCAAGGCGACGAUCCUUAGCUGGUCUGAGAGGAUGAUCAGCCACACUGGGACUGAGACACGGCCCAGACUCCUACGGGAGGCAGCAGUGGGGAAUAUUGGACAAUGGGCGAAAGACUGAUCCAGCAAUGCCGCGUGAAUGAUGAAGGCCUUAGGGUUGUAAAGCUCUUUUACCCGGGAUGAUAAUGACAGUACCGGGAGAAUAAGCGCCGGCAAACUCCGUG
rnacentral:rRNA from 1 species